rnacentral:piRNA from 1 species
UAAAUGGAAGUCCAAGAUCUAGCAGU